GACGAACGCUGGCGGCGUGCUUAACACAUGCAAGUCGAACGGACGGGCCCUGCUCUUGCGGGGUGCUCGUGUGGCGCACGCGUGAGUAAAACGUGUGUAACCUGCACUUGUCUUUGGGGUAACUCCAGGAAACUGGGGCUCAUACCGGAUAGGAGCUCCUGCUGCAUGGUGGGGGUUGGUAAGUUUCGGCGGUUGUGGCUCGACUCGAGGCUUCUCAGCUUGUUGGGGGGGUAGUGGCUUACCAAGGCUUCGACGGGUAGCCGGCCUGAGCGGAGGACCGGCCACAUUGGGACUGAGAUGCGGGCCAGAGUCCUACAGGAGGCAGCAGUGGGGAAUAUUGCACAAUGGGCGGAAGCCUGAUGCAGCAACGCCGCGGGCGGGAUGACGGCCUUCGGGUUGUAAACCGCUUUCGCCGGUGAAGAAGCGUGAGUGAGGGUAAUGGGUAAAGAAGCACCGGCUAACUACGUG
rnacentral:rRNA from 1 species